rnacentral:rRNA from 1 species
GUCGAACGAGAAGCAGGAGCUUGCUCCUGUGGAAAGUGGCGGACGCGUGAGUACAACAUAGGAAAUCUGCCUUAGGGUGGGGGACAACAGAGGGAAACUUCUGCUAAUACCCCAUAUGAGUUUGGUUGAAAUACCAAUCUUGAAAGUUCCGGCGCCCUAAGAUGAGCCUGUGCCUGAUUAGCUAGUUGGUGGUGUAAUGGACUACCAAGGCGACGAUCAGUAGCUGGUUUGAGAGGGUGAUCAGCCACAAUGGGACUGAGACACGGCCCAUACUCCUACGGGAGGCAGCAGUAGGGAAUUUUGCGCAAUGGGCGAAAGCCUGACGCAGCAACACCGCGUGAAUGUUAAGCCCUUCGGGGUGUAAAGUUCUGUCAAUAGGGACGAAUUUUGACUGUACCUAUAAAGGAAGCACCGGCUAACUCCGUGCCAGCAGCCGCGGUAAUACGGGGGGUGCAAGCGUUGUCCGGAAUCAUUGGGCGUAAAGCGUUCGUAGGCGGCAAGGUAAGUCUGAUGUUAAAGCCCGGGGCUCAACUCCGGUUCGGCAUUGGAUACUAUCU